GUACAUGUGUCUAUUUUAAGAGAGAAAAUGGGUAAAGCCAAAAAGAGAGUAUCACGUGCACAAAAUCGCACAAGAAAGGUCAAGACAUAUGCAUAUGCCAACCUUGCUGUGGUUGGAUUCUACACGUACAUUGCAUGUACUAGAAGUCGUCAACGGGCCAUAUUAGCUGCAGGGUAUCUUGCACGUUCAUCUCGGCGCUAUAAGAUUUAGUUCAGCUUUUCUGUUCGGUAUAUUCGAUCUGUAGCUGUUGCUUUGGGGAAAAACAUUUUACAUCAAUAUAUGACUUUUUUAGAAUUUAGAACAAUUGUUUAAGCAGCUAUUUAGAUUUCAAUGAAAUUAUGUGUGUAAAACCAUAUUUGAUAAAUAAAUUCAUAUGAUAUUAUAUUUA